rnacentral:rRNA from 1 species
GACGAACGCUGGCGGCGUGCCUAACACAUGCAAGUCGAGCGGGGACUUGGGAGCUUGCUUCCGAGUUCUAGCGGCGGACGGGUGAGUAACGCGUGAGCAACCUGCCUCAAACAGGGGGAUAACGCAUCGAAAGAUGUGCUAAUACCGCAUAAUGCAACGGAAUCGCAUGACUCUGUUGCCAAAGAUUUAUCGCUCUGAGAUGGCCUCGCGUCUGAUUAGCUAGUUGGCGGGGUAACGGCCCACCAAGGCGACGAUCAGUAGCCGGACUGAGAGGUUGGCCGGCCACAUUGGGACUGAGACACGGCCCAG